GAGUGGGUUUUAUGCCUAUAAAAAGGCCCUGACAGGUCGUGAAGGAUGUAGCGAGUCCUGGGAGUGGUCGUGAGAGUUUGAGAGGGCUUUCUUUGGGGUUUUUAGAGCUUUUGUAAGGGGGUGAGCUUCUUAUUAAAAGAGUGAGGUUUAUGAGAGUUGAGAGUGUAUGAUCUCUUUUUAUUUUUAUUUUCUUUCAUAAUGAAGCCUUUGUAUGCCC
rnacentral:lncRNA from 1 species